GAGUUUGAUCUUGGCUCAGAACGAACGCUGGCGGCAGGCCUAACACAUGCAAGUCGAGCGCCGUAGCAAUACGGAGCGGCAGACGGGAGAGUAACACGUGGGAACGUGCCCUUUGGUUCGGAAUAACUCAGGGAAACUUGAGCUAAUACCGGAUAAGCCCUUCGGGGAAGAUUUAUUGCCAUUGGAGCGGCCCGCGUCGGAUUAGCUAGUUGGUGAGGUAAAGGCCUACCAAGGCGACGAUCCUUAGCUGGUCUGAGAGGAUGAUCAGCCGCACUGGGACUGAGACACGGCCCAGACUCCUACGGGAGGCAGCAGUGGGGAAUAUUGGACAAUGGGCGAAAGCCUGAUCCAGCAAUGCCGCGUGAGUGAUGAAGGCCCUAGGGUUGUAAAGCUCUUUUACCCGGGAUGAUAAUGACAGUACCGGGAGAAUAAGCUCCGGCUAACUCCGUGCCAGCCGCCGCCGUAAC
rnacentral:rRNA from 1 species